rnacentral:rRNA from 1 species
AUCAACUUUCGAUGGUAGGAUAGAGGCCUACCAUGGUGGUAACGGGUAACGGGGUGUUAGGGCACGACACCGGAGAGGGAGCCUGAGAAACGGCUACCACAUCCAAGGAUGGCAGCAGGCGCGCAAAUUACCCAAUCCCGACACGGGGAGGUAGUGACAAUAAAUAACAAUACGGGGUCCUUUAGGGUUUCGUAAUUGGAAUGAGUACAAUUUAAAUCUCUUAACGAGGAACAAUUGGAGGGCAAGUCUGGUGCCAGCAGCCGCGGUAAUUCCAGCUCCAAUAGCGUAUAUUAAAGUUGUUGCAGUUAAAAAGCUCGUAGUUGAAUUUCGGGAUCAGUACGUUGGUCGUGCCUUGGUACGUACUGGUGUAACUGAUUCCUCCCUUCUGACGAACCGUCAUGCCAUUAAUUUGGUGUGGCGGGAAAUCAGGACUGUUACUUUGAAAAAAUUAGAGUGUUUAAAGCAGGCUCGCGCUUGAAUACAUUAGCAUGGAAUAAUGAAAUAGGACGUUGUUCUUAUUUUGUUGGUUUCUAGGAUCGACGUAAUGAUUAAUAGGGAUAGUUGGGGGCAUUAGUAUUCAAUUGUCAGAGGUGAAAUUCUUGGAUUUAUUGAAGACUAACUACUGCGAAAGCAUUUGCCAAGGAUGUUUUCAUUAAUCAAGAACGAAAGUUAGGGGAUCGAAGACGAUCAGAUACCGUCGUAGUCUUAACCAUAAACUAUGCCGACUAGGGAUCGGAUGAUGUUAAUUUUUUAAUGACUCAUUCGGCGCCUUACGGGAAACCAAAGUGUUUGGGUUC